GAGCACGAUACCAUCGAGUAACCACAUACUCGGUCAUAAAAUCAGUUUCAGAUGUAGUUCUAGCAAGACCAAAGUCUGCAAUCUUAAGGUCACAAUUGGAAUUCAGUAGCAAAUUGCUAGGCUUUAGAUCACGGUGCAAAACAUUUGCUGAAUGUACGUAUUUGAGCCCUCGUAGCAACUGAUACAGGAAAUACUGGAAAAAAUAGAUCUUAUAAAUGGAUGUAUGACAGAUUAUAAAAAUUAUGCUAUAGUGCGUGAAGCCAGUACAUUGUAAUAGAUGGUGGAAGCUACACCACUUAUUACACUGUUCGGGUUUCAUCUUGUCUCCAAGUUUCUGGGCUCCUAGGCCGUUCCAAAGUAUACAUAAAUUUUAAAUAUGUAUUGCUACAAAAACCCACAAUUUCAGUUGCUAUUUUAAUUCAAAACAACAAGAACAUUACUGAGCUAAAAUCCAAAGUAAUUCAUCAUAUUAAAUUAAAUAUAAAUUGUAAAGCCAAUUAAUAUUCGAGUAUUUUAACUUGUCUGUUAUAUAGGAAGUGGACCGAAGUACACACAUCCGGCACAAAUUCAUAAUACAUUUUGCAAAUAACUAGAGAACCAACAAUGAACAAAAUUUUGGCCUCAAAUAUCAGGAUAAACAAAGAUUUUAAAAAAGCCUAAGGACUGAUGAUAAUCAAAGCAUAACGGUUCCAGUGAUUGAAGGUUACUAAUAACAAUGGAAUGAUGCAACAAGAAUAAAAGACAAAUAAAAUAGGUUAACACUUUAGAGUGUGGCUAGAACCUGGAGUUCAUACACAUUGGAAAUAAGAAUAAUCAGGGAAACCAAUAUCCAAGGUGAAUGUGAUCUUUCAAAUAUUGACGAAAAGAGUAUAUGCAUCAUUACUUUUGUAGUGAAUGAGUCCAUCCCUUAUGUCAUAUAAAAAACAUUACUAGUGUCAAGUUUAAAACAACCUGGAGGAAUUUUAUUUACACCAUUGACAUUAUUAGAAAUGUUACUUUGUAGAAAGUAAAAGCAACGUCACUACACUAUUCUCGCAGACACAACAUUACAAACCUGCAAACAUGGAACUGACUUUAACAGGAAAAAGUUAAAGUGGGGCAACCAAACUCACAGAUGGAACCAUGUGUGCAAUAUUUCGCAAUUGAAAUGACAAUGUUGUAAACAUGGCAUUACUUAGUACGUAAGUAGGCAAAAAUAUAUAUUAUUCACCAUUGUUAAUUAAUCCCUUUAAUUUUUUCAUGUUUUAUAUUAGUUUGAGAAACAAUAAACUGAUGAACAUAAUCUCUGCCAGGAAAGAGGGGUUGUCUUGUCAUGAUUUCACCAAGUAUGCAACCAACAGACCAUAUAUCAAUGGCUGCCGUGUAUUCUGAACAAUUAAGAAGCAAUUCUGGAGCACGAUACCAUCGAGUAACCACAUACUCGGUCAUAAAAUCAGUUUCAGAUGUAGUUCUAGCAAGACCAAAGUCUGCAAUCUUAAGGUCACAAUUGGAAUUCAGUAGCAAAUUGCUAGGCUUUAGAUCACGGUGCAAAACAUUUGCUGAAUGUACGUAUUUGAGCCCUCGUAGCAACUGAUACAGGAAAUACUGGAAAAAAUAGAUCUUAUAAAUGGAUGUAUGACAGAUUAUAAAAAUUAUGCUAUAGUGCGUGAAGCCAGUACAUUGUAAUAGAUGGUGGAAGCUACACCACUUAUUACACUGUUCGGGUUUCAUCUUGUCUCCAAGUUUCUGGGCUCCUAGGCCGUUCCAAAGUAUACAUAAAUUUUAAAUAUGUAUUGCUACAAAAACCCACAAUUUCAGUUGCUAUUUUAAUUCAAAACAACAAGAACAUUACUGAGCUAAAAUCCAAAGUAAUUCAUCAUAUUAAAUUAAAUAUAAAUUGUAAAGCCAAUUAAUAUUCGAGUAUUUUAACUUGUCUGUUAUAUAGGAAGUGGACCGAAGUACACACAUCCGGCACAAAUUCAUAAUACAUUUUGCAAAUAACUAGAGAACCAACAAUGAACAAAAUUUUGGCCUCAAAUAUCAGGAUAAACAAAGAUUUUAAAAAAGCCUAAGGACUGAUGAUAAUCAAAGCAUAACGGUUCCAGUGAUUGAAGGUUAC
rnacentral:lncRNA from 1 species